rnacentral:rRNA from 1 species
GGAUUAGAUACCCUGGUAGUCCACGCCGUAAACGAUGAGAACUAGGUGUUGGGAAGUCUUGUACUUCUCAGUGCCGUAGCUAACGCGUUAAGUUCUCCGCCUGGGGAGUACGGCCGCAAGGCUAAAACUCAAAGGAAUUGACGGGGGCCCGCACAAGCGGUGGAGCAUGCGGUUUAAUUCGAUGCAACGCGAAAAACCUUACCUACCCUUGACAUCCUGGGAAUCCUCUAGCAGUAGAGGAGUGCCUUCGGGAACCCAGUGACAGGUGCUGCAUGGCUGUCGUCAGCUCGUGCCG